GCGUGCCUGCGAGGUCAGUGGUGCCGACGCUGGCUCUGCGAGGUCAGCUCAGGGUGGGACUGGACAUUGAGCAGGCCUGUCGGGGCGCCUCACCCACACCUUCCUCUUCUGCCGGGGGUGGC
rnacentral:precursor_RNA from 14 species